AAACCCAAGUCCCAGUCCCGGUCCAGUAAUGUAUUUUUAGGUCCGGGUCCAGGCCCGUUGCUAACCUGUCAAAACCUUCGACUCUAUUAAGAAGAAGACAGGUGGGGGAAGGGCAGUUUAGUCAAUUAUGAAGAGAGAUGUGAGAGUAGGCCAGAGUGAUCAUUUCGACAUUUUUCUUUCUUCCACUGUGGCUCCCUCUCUUUCUCUCUCUCUACGGACCUUUCCGUUCUCUCUCUAACUUUCCACUCUCUCUCUCUAUUUAUUUAUGUGGCCGGGCCAUAUAUAUACCCCUCAUUGUCUCUCUCUUCCAAUGAAUUUGAGCUCGUUGUAAUCUAUUAUACCUUCUAUGGCUUUCUUACUCCCUCUCGAUCCCGAUACUCAAACUAAGGCUUUCUCAAGAAGACUUCAAUUUCAAUCUACUUUCUCUCUCUCCAAACAUGCAUCCAUCAAAGAAAUACCCCAAUUUCUCCACAGAUGGGGGUUUCAAUUUGCAUGGCUUUGAAACAAUUGGGAAUAGGGGUUUUGGCCCCUUAGAGCUUCACCCUAACUGAAGUGGGUUCAGCGAAGCAUCAAAUUUAGGAGAAUAAUCCAGUUAAUCCAUUCGAUGUGUUCAAUAUUUGCCAGGAGACAACUGAGAGGAAUAUUUAUCCCUCCUGAACUUGGUACCCCUUAGGAUUCAGGAAUAUUAUUAUAGAGUGGGCUCAAACUGGGUUUGGAAUUCUUUCUGUUUGGAGUGUGCAUGAGCCUCCAAUGCAUCUAAUUGUGCGUUCCCCUUAUGGUAUUACACAUGAACAGUUUUCUCUUGUACCAUGAUGAAAAAGGAGAAGAUGCUUUGUUUUCAGCUAAUGUCCCAUGUUGAGAGGUUUGGGUGCGCGUUCUCUACUUUGGGGGAAACAAGACUACGCCCUCCUUUUCUGAGAAAGACGAAUGGUCAUGAACCUCUAAGAGGUUGAUAAUAUUUCUAAGUCGACAAAAAUAACCCCAAAGGAGAAGAUGAUGCUACUACUUUCCUUUUAGGAAAAAAGUCCAUUGUACCCGAGUUUCUCUGAUGUCAAUAGAUUCAAUACCAUGCACAAUACUUCACUGAAGAAGAUCUCAUGUUUUAUAUUAAUAUUAUAUUUUAAUUCCCUAUUCGAUGCACUAAUGAAUAAGGAAAUUCUACUAUUUAAAACUAGAGAUAAACAGAUAGAGAAAUAGGGAUUUAGGAGUUUAGGGACAAGGAUUACACGCACGCACUAGAGAUGUAGGGAAUUUGGAUAAAGAAAAUAUUUUUGGAUACGCUGAGCAGAACGUUUCUAAUUUGAUAUAUUUAUUCAUAUAUUUCUCUAUCCUAUCUUCACGUGAGAUUGUUUUCAAGUACUUUUGGCUAAGAAGCCUAACUAGGGCUGAGAAUUUUUUGAAUUGGGUCUGUAUUCGGAUCUAAAUCUGAAAAGUAUACGUGGGAUCCGGAUCCAAAACCAUUCGGAUACAAAAUGCUAGGAUCCAGAUCUGAAAAGUACCCACGCAAUCAUCUGAUUUGCAGUGGUAUAUCUCAUCCCACUCCAAGAUGCUGCUGUUGUCCUCUGCACACAAGAGGCUGGACAUACAGUCAAAGUUCGGAGAGCCAUUGAUGAAGAUGAAAGUUUGGCCUUAUGAAGAUGCCAUGAAAAUGGCUGCCCUUCUAUGGUCUGUAACCAUUGAGGUCUCCUGGAGCAUUGGCCAUUAGAGCCACCAAACAGUGGAAGCUUGAGGGAGAGAGAGAGGGCAACAAAAGGGUUGUAUUUGAGUGGGUUGAUCUAUUUAGGGCAAACAAUUAGAGGUGUGUGGAGGAGAGAGAAAUGGCAAUACACUGGAGGGAAAGGAGCGUAGAGAGAGAAAUUAAUGAUUUAAUGAAGACAUAAGGAGUGACAGAGUAUGUCACACACGAUAUCUACCUAGCUCACCAAAAAACCCACUGGAAAAUUAUGCCGGCGGCAUCUGCUGCAACUUCAAAUCAUGGUUUUACAGAGAAAUCCUAAUUCAUGUGUAGAGAGAGAGAGAGAAGCGAGGAUUCAAUCCUCUCGUUCAUCUUCUAUAAACAUACGUUGGGGCUUGGGUCUUCUUAAAGUUUUAAAAAUUAUAUAUAUAUAUAUAUAUAUAUAUAUAUACUAUUUUAAGAAUUGGGUUGGAUCCGGAUAGGUUCCAAAAUUCGGGAUUCGGAUCGAAAUUCGGUAAAUUCUAUGCCCUAGCGCCAACUACUUUCAAAUGGCAAAAACUGUUUCACUAGUUAGUUUCAGAGAUCAAGUUGUCAUUCCAACAAGCAAUUGGAUGUAUCCUAACACAAACCUUGUGCGAAGUUGAUAACGCAACGUUGCGAUGCUCCAAUGUUUUAUUUGGUUGGAUAAACUUAUUAAAGAAAUGUCACAAAAAGAACAACACAUAGUUUGCAUUAAAAAGCAAUCUCACAAAAAAAGUGACUUGUUUUGUGACUUGUAUGAGGAGCAUGUCACAAAAGGAAUGAAAUGUAUACUUUGUUUAAAGAGCAAUUUGACAAAAAGAAUGACGCAAAGAGUAUUUUCACAAUACAAAUGGCAUGUAGAGGUAUCAUUAUAGUGUAACCUAGCAAACAUGUAUGUUGAGCCUAAAAGGGACAUGUCACAAAAAGAAUGACAUGUAUAUAAACUAUAGAGCCAGGUACGAAAAGAUAUGGGGAUUUAUGGUCUCACUGAAGGUAUGACUUUUAAUAGAGCAGGAGGAUCAGGAUUCUUGUAGUCGAUCUUAAUUAGUUGGGAAAAAAAUUUGACGCUGAUGAUGAGAGCCAAGUGUGAGCUUUUUGGCAAGCUUGAAAACAAUUCAACUUUUUUUUUUUCAUCAUAGUAUGCAAGAGAAUAAUUUCUAUGCAUAACACCAUGAGAGGAGCACAAUCUUUCAUGAAGAAUGAUAAUAUAGCCUUCAUCAGCAAGGGUUCAUGCUAUCAACAAUUCUGCUUUUAUCCGCAACUUCAUGAGGGAGGUGAGUUACAUGGCAUUCAGUCAAGCAUCUUAAUUGCAGCGAAGAAAGAUUCAUGGGAGAACAUAAUCAUUCAAGAACUCAAAGUUAGCACCAAGGUCAACCAAAUACUGUGAGGAGCAUGCCUUUCCGGGGCCAUAUUGUGUGGAAUGAGUCAUCAAGGUAGAGACCAAGCGGAGAUAGAGAUAAGCAGGAGAUAGAGAUAAAGUGUGAUUAAAGUUUGUGAAAAGUGAGAGCCAAUGCUUAUGGGUGAACUGCGUAACAGAUGGGGAUAUAUGGUGCGUGCACUGCUCAAAGGUUGGUAGGACAUUAACUUCUGGGUGAGCAGCAUGAUAAAUGAGCACGUACCUGAAUCUCCAAUUGGUAAAGGUUCAUUAGCCACUGGCUCAAAGCCAAUGAGUAGCAGGAAGUGUCAAAGGUUGUUGCAUGAGCAAUCAGAUUUUGACCAAGAAACAAAUGAUGUACAACGUGAAUCAGGACAAACACCCUGACAAAACAUCACUAUACUCGCUUAAUGGAUUUGAACAAAGCUGAUGAUCAGAUUUUCAGAUAAAUUCACGGCGCAAGUAAAUGUAGCUGAGUACUAGUACCAUUUGUACAGACAAGUGGAAGCAGAAGACUAGGUUUUCCAUCACUUGAUAUGGGCAGUGGACAUGCGCUUCGAGAUCCAUGAUGAUGAAUACUACAUUGUCGAUCUUGCUAGGUGGACAGGCACAUGUAUGGAGGGCAAGUUGGUGGGUUAUCUUGUAAGCAUUUUAUUGGUUCAAUAGAUCAUAACAUCUUGCAGAUUUGGCAUUCCGCAGUCCUUAUUUCACAGUUAAUUAUCACACUAGAUCUUAUUUCGAGUUUGUUCCAGAUGAUAGACAAUUACCCGGUGUGUCAAAUGAUAGGCAAAUGUCGCAUAGGAACAGAGAUUGAAGACAUCAUGGAUUAGAAUUGUAAAUACCUAGUGUUUUUUUUCCUUGUU